GAUAAGGCAAGGUGACAAAUACACUUAUUGGAGUACUCGAGGAAGGAACAUUGGCAUGUAUGAAGGUAUGGGAUCGUUGGCUUCAUGAAGAAAUGGAGCUGGAUUUGGAUAAGAGUAUUUAAGAAAGCGCUUGGACAAUUCCACGACUACUUUAUAGAAUGCUCUACGAAAUUCUAUUAUAUAGUUUAAUGUUGUAUGGUAUGUUAAUGACUAAUGGUUUGGUUGUACGUGGUGUCCACAGGUAUCGCUUGGGUUUUCUCUACAUUUAUUGAAGUGAAGCGGACUUAGUUCGAGUUGAGAGCAAGGAUUGUACGGGGUAGAAUGGUCACAUAGUGUAACUCAUAUAGGUUUUGAAGUAUUAAUGUUAUAAAACGUUAUAAAUCCGUUUUAAUGAAUAUAUGGCAUU
rnacentral:lncRNA from 1 species